AUAUCAUACCAUAUCCAUCAUCUUUGUGUAACUAUUUUAAAAAUAUUUCAUUUACGCCCUUGCUGUCUACUAUGUAGUGUCGAUCCACACAUUUGUGUGAGAAAAAAUUAUAGAACAUACCAUAUUAAUAUAUAUGUUCCUAAGCCUAGAAAGCCAAUUAUUUGAUUAGCUACAUAUAUAGAUUAUAAAAUGGAAUGGAAACAAAUCAGAAUGUGGAUAAAAAUAGAUUUGACAUAUAUUCCACAUUAAUUUUUAGUUUAGGACAUAUCUAUAAUGUACGGAAGCGUAAUGCCUUCACUUGAGAAAAAAUAAUUCUGCUGAAUUAACGAGAUACAGUUUUCAUGUAAAAAAACGCUCCUUUUUUUAAAUUGGUCUUCGUUAGUCGACGUCACACUCGCUAUAGCCGCAGUGUAUUGUGGGUCGAAUCGCCAUUUUGGAUGUAUACAACGCAAGAGUGAGCAUUUGCGUUCAGCAUUAUUUUUUGUAAGAUGGGACACUAUCUGAAAGGCUGUCACACUAAUUCACAUGGUAGAAAUGGCAAAAAGGUGGACUACAACAUGAGAUUUUUUCGGUUUCCCACUUGGAAAAGAGGAUAUGGACACCAGUUAGAGGAGGUAACAAAGAGGCGUUGGGUGGCCUGGGUCGCAGCAAUGAGACGGAAGGAGAUCACUUUCAACACGAUAUCUCCCUUCAUGCGUGUUUGCUCUCGGUAUUUUCACAAAGGCAACUAAGAUGUUUUUUUUUGAGUAAUAUUAUUGAAUAUGCAUUUUUUUUGUCUUCUAAAGUUGGUAUUUUCACAUUGGUUAAUCUACACAAGCAAGCUAGCCUCACUACGGAGGGCAGCAGAAAUAGAUUAAUAUGCUUGUGUUAAAGUGGUGUUACAGAGUGAAUGCUUUUUAAAGAUAAGUAAACAGGAAAACUGUAAUGACACGUGUAUCAGUGCAUGUAUAUGUAUAUUCGCGUGCAUGGAUUAUAAGCUGCAAUGCUGGAUAAGGUUGUCACUGUGUGCUGUGCCCUGUAAAACCAAUGCUCAACUAUGGUUUAUGUACAGAAACAUUUGCAAGUACGGUUUCUAACGUUUUACAUGAUGUCUGGAAGGAUCUGUAUAAACUCGUUGUAUACCGAGCCUGUGUCCUGCUUGCCGCUUAUAUUUUAUUUUAAACAUUACCAAUAAAGUUAUGUCCAAUGACAUUACUGUGGUGUUCUUGACUCUUUUUCCAUUCUUAAUCACCUAAAUGGCUGGUGUGUUUUGGUAAUGAAAAUUUUGGUAAUGAAAAUCAGUAACUUAUUACUGAUAAAGUUCCAUAAAACGUUACAUUUUUGUAGAGAAAAAAAACACUGAAAAUGAAACAUUAAGUUAACCAAAUGUGUUUACAUUCGCGACACACUCAAAAUGGCGAAUGGGGGCGUGUCAGACGGUGCAGACACAGAUACAGUUUUCAUUACAUGGUCUGAUUGUCUCUUGAGUCACCACAUGACCAGCCUGAAUGCAUUUCAGAUGCAUCAUCUUGUAUCCGUGAAGCAUGCCAUACUGGUCCAACUGACCCUGGAGAAACACUGCAAUGUUCUGCAGAUCAGAAUGAACUUUCCCUCUGAACAACCGCAAAACCUGCGCAAAGUCGACAAACUAAUAACAAUGCCAUCUAUGUUACUUAAAGCUGCCAGUAUUUCCCAGUGUUUCUAACCCAGACCAAAAUAAAACUAGAUUAAUCUAAGCUGUGAUAUUGUUGCAGUGAAAUUGAGCUCCAAAGUAGGCGAAAUUCGAGUUCUAGUGAGUUCGAGAACCGAGGUACCACUGCAUAUAUAUAUUACAUGAAAACAGUAUCUCAAUUCAGAAAAACAUCGUAUUUUUUUUUACAUGAAAACCGUAUCUCGUUAAUUCAGAAAAACAGAGUUUUUAUUUUACAUGAAAACUUUAUCUCAGAAAUUCCGAGAUAAUUAUGUCAUUAAUUCAGAAAAACAGCAGAAUUAUUUUUUCUCAAGUGAACGCAUUACGCUUCCGUAAUAGUGUAAUAUGUAAGAUUUUCUAAUACAGUCUCGGUACCUUUGCUUCUCUUUAACUUGCAACAUUAAUUUUAAAUACUUUUUUUAUAUAAAUAAAAUUAAUUUCAUCAGAUAUCUGUGUUAUCCUUCCUCAAUUUUAGGUUCUUGGAGUACAAGGCUGGCCAAAAGAAAGAUGACACACAGCCAACUAUAGCUUCCUUUACCCAGAAAGGGCAGGUCUACAGCGAACAUUCUCAGAGACAACAAGCCAUCAGUGAAGCUAUUGUCCAAGAUUUAGUAAUUGGGUGUUGUCUGCCUCUGUCAAUUGUGGAAAAUUUACAUUUUAAACACUUUCUUGAGAUUUUAGACAGUAAGUACACACCAAUCUCCAGAAGAACAAUUUCUGAGAAACAGAUCCCAGCAUUAGUGAGGAAGGUCAAGGAGAAAGUUUUAGAGAAGCUGGCGACACAGACAUAUGUCUCACUAACGACUGAUAUCUGGUCUGAUCGCAGACUACGCUCUUUCCUUGGAGUGACUGCCCAUAUGUGCUGCAAAUCAAAGGCUGCCUAUGCACUUGAAUCCUACUUGCUGGACUGCAGGCAUUUUACAGGUAGACAUACUGGUGAGAAAAUUGCUUCUGCCUUUGAGGAGAUCACAGAGGAAUAUGGAAUCCGUCACAAGAUAAACUAUAUCAUUACAGACAAUGCUUCAAAUAUGAAAUGUGCUUUUAAAGUUCACAUGCCACAACAGCAGUCUGAUGACAGUGCGAGUGAGGAAGAGAGUCUAGAUGAUGAGAACUUGUGGGAGGACAUGAAUUCAGUGGAAGACAAAGAAUUAACUUGGUCAUCAGGUGAACGUCUUUCCUGCUUUGCUCAUUCUCUACAGUUAGUUGUAAAUGAUGGCUUGAAGGAGGUUAAGGUCAUCUCACGCGCCAUUGCCAAAACAUCACGGUUUACAACUCUGUUACAUACAGUAGCAGUUCACAAUUAAGAGACAAGUUUGAGGCUGCAUUUGGCACUACUAAGACUAUUCCAGCAGCAAGCAACACCCGCUGGAACAGCACUUUCAAACAAGUACAGGCACUCACAGCUCUGGAUCACAGAGCCCUAAAUGAAAUGUGCAGCAAGGACUAUGAGAAUGUAGUCUUUAGUGCUCGUGAGUGGAACCAGCUAAAAGAACUGACUUCAAUUCUUGCACCAUUCUCAGAGGCAACAGACCUUACAGAAGCAGAGAAAUCAGUUACCAUAAGCAUGGUGGUUCCGACUGUCCUGGACUUAAAUACACACCUCCUUAAGAUGGAGGGGACCCAAAUGCAGUGCCGACCAUUAGUCAAGGCCCUCCAUCAGUCCCUGGUGAAAAGAUUUUCUGGAAUCUUCACAAAAACAAACAUGACCAAAGAUAGUGGAAAAGAGGAACCGUUUAACCACAAUGUGUACUUUUUGGCUACCAUUCUGGAUCCACAGUUUGGAUUAAGUUGGGUAGAUCUGGAUGUUACCAGUGGGGGAAAUGCAGCAUCUGUGAAGAAGUUCAGAGAUGAUCUGAAGAAGACACUGAUAGACACUUUGAUCUCAGAGGUGGAGAACAUGAUGGAGAGUGAGGGAAAUGCAACUAAUUCAGGGUCUAUUGUGAAUCCUCAUGGUGAUUCACCACCAGUUAAAUGGCCUCGUCUUCUGUCUCGCUACAAGGCCUACAAGAUGUGCAGCUCAGAUCAUGAUACAAGUUUUAUGACAGAGAUCAACAAAUACUUUGAUGCCGUCCAUGACUGGGAUGCUGGCGAUGCACUUGACUUCUGGGCCAAAAACCAUGUUAGAUUUCCACAGCUUCACAAUUUGGCAAUGAAGGUGCUGUCAGUCCCUGCCUCCUCAGCACCAGUGGAGAGGGUUUUUAGUAGAGGGGGCAUUAUAAUGAGACCCCAUCGCGCACGUUUAGGUCCAAGAAUGUUACAAUCCCUCAUGUUUCUGAAAUGCAACCACACUCUACUGUGAUUUUUCAUUUAUGUGGUGUUUCAGGCCAUGUUGUGUGGUGUUUAGCAGUUACCCCCUCAUCUUUGGGGUCAGUUUGGUCUUAAAGAGUGUUCUGCCACAGUGGUUUGUUGAGGAUUAAUAAAUGAUGUUAUAAUUUUAGGUAACUGCUUCCAGUGAAGCAAUUUUGUAAUUUUAUGAAUGAAACUCCUGCAUUUGUUGCUUUAAAAACAAAAUUGUAUGGUCUUUAGAAGUUUUUUUCACUUUCACAUUCUUUGUUCUGUUUUCUGAUUAUUGAAAUGUAAGAGAAUAGUCGAGAGAAGUAAUGUAUAAACAUAUUUAAUGUUG